GAGUUUGAUCUUGGCUCAGGAUAAACGCUGGCGGCGCACAUAAGACAUGCAAGUCGAACGGACUUAAUCGAAAUAUUUAUAUUUUGAAGCGGUUAGUGGCGGACUGGUGAGUAACGCGUAAGGAACCUGCCUGUUAGAGGGGAAUAACAGUGAGAAAUCACUGCUAAUACCGCAUAUGCCAUAGUUACCACAUGGUAAUAGUGGGAAAGGAGCAAUCCGCUGACAGAUGGCCUUGCGUCUGAUUAGAUAGUUGGUGGGUAACGGCCUACCAAGUCGACGAUCAGUAGCCGGACUGAGAGGUUGAACGGCCACAUUGGGACUGAGAUACGGCCCAGACUCC
rnacentral:rRNA from 1 species